rnacentral:rRNA from 1 species
UACGUAGGGUGCAAGCGUUAAUCGGAAUUACUGGGCGUAAAGCGUGCGCAGGCGGUUAUAUAAGACAGUUGUGAAAUCCCCGGGCUCAACCUGGGAACUGCAUCUGUGACUGUAUAGCUAGAGUACGGUAGAGGGGGAUGGAAUUCCGCGUGUAGCAGUGAAAUGCGUAGAUAUGCGGAGGAACACCGAUGGCGAAGGCAAUCCCCUGGACCUGUACUGACGCUCAUGCACGAAAG